AUUGAACGCUGGCGGCAUGCCUUACACAUGCAAGUCGAACGGUAACAGGUCUUCGGAUGCUGACGAGUGGCGAACGGGUGAGUAAUACAUCGGAACGUGCCCGAGAGUGGGGGAUAACGAAGCGAAAGCUUUGCUAAUACCGCAUACGAUCUCAGGAUGAAAGCAGGGGACCGCAAGGCCUUGCGCUCACGGAGCGGCCGAUGGCAGAUUAGGUAGUUGGUGGGAUAAAAGCUUACCAAGCCGACGAUCUGUAGCUGGUCUGAGAGGACGACCAGCCACACUGGGACUGAGACACGGCCCAGACUCCUACGGAGGCAGCAGUGGGAAUUUUGGACAAUGGCGCAAGACCUGAUCCAGCCAUGCCGCGUGCAGGAUGAAGGCCUCGG
rnacentral:rRNA from 1 species